GAAUUGUUUGAUUGAUGGGUGAAGAGGGAGAAGAGGUGUCAAUAGAGAAGGAACAAAGCAUGGGAGUUUAUGAAAAUGAGUGGUUGUAUGCUACUUCCUCUGCAAAUUGGCCCCUUUUAAGACACCACAAUUCAUCUUCAAUGCCUCCCUUUAAGUAAAACACAAAACAAAACAAACCUUCUCCCACCUUUUCUUCUUCAGAUCUUAAUAUACAUUGCCUAAACAAAAUAAAGGGAUCGAAUUUAAGUUCCUUGAUCUAAUAAGAUCCGUGCUUUGCACUCAUGAAGAGACUUGGCAGCUCCGAUUCUCUGGGUGCUCUCAUGACCAUUUGUCCAC
rnacentral:lncRNA from 1 species